AUUAAUAAAUGAUCGUAACGAACUUCGUAAAAUUCUAUCGGCGGCGAAACAACGUUACGAAUGUUAUAAAUUUCUAUUAUUUUCUCGUAAUUCAUCAAUUGUACGAUACCAUUUCCAAUUACAAAUCUCGUAAUUAUCGCGUAUGCUUUUUAUCCGUAGCGGGCCGUUCCGAUUUAUUUUAUCGUAUUUCAUCUUUUUCGAGUAAUCAAUAUAGAUGCGAAUCGAUCGCGUGGAAAAUAAUCAGCUCCCUUCCCUCGAGUAAUAACUGGGAGUAAAUUCGACACGUAGCGCGCGUAGCGAACGUGGCGGUAUCUGGUGAACAAAGAUAAAAGCAAUACGCAUCGAUACACGUCCGGAUCAUCGUGUGUCAUCGGAAAGUGGACAGUAAUGCAUAACGAGCACACGCGCGGUCAAUUCCGUUAUCGAAACGGAUGGCUUUAUUAAACCCAUUAUUCACUGGUCGUAAUUUAUCACGAUAACAUUGCGUUUUAAGGAUGAUUAUACGAUGGUCAAGAAGGAUGAUGUGUAUCUGCCGAUUACGCGUGCCCUCUGUUUGGUCACGUGAUCGAUUACUCGCGCGACGACAGCUUGUCGACCUUAUUUUCCGUACAAACAGUGAACACGUUCGACACUCGAAAUGCAUACCGUCGUCGAUACGUUAUAUAUACCGUGGAAAAUUCCGUUAGAGGAUAUCACGGUUUACCAUCGACGAUUUGUCUUAGUCACGAGGAAUGGAAAAAACAUGGACAGCUCGCUCCUCUAUUUUCUGCAUUCGUCACGUGGCGAAACAUAACCUUUCAACCUAGAUGCUCGCAUACUUUGACGGAUUACAGGCCCGGUUUACAUCGCUAAGCAUCCAGCUGUUAUUAUUCUAUCCACGUAUGUACGUUUAAAUACUUGUACCAUGUGCACCGCGUUUGAUUACGACUACCGGGGCUAUGAAUAAUUUCUACUAGUUCCGUUUAUAAAGUAAACUUUCCUUGCUCGAUUCGGCCACCGUUUGCGCCGAAUAUUUCGCUCGGUCGGUAUUUAUACAUUCGUGAAGAUAAAACGGGUUCGAGUGGCGAAAAUAAUAACGGUGAAAAGAAAAAUUAUCCUCGCCUUUCCUCACCUCUUAUCGCUCUCCGUACGUAAAUUCGAAGGGACGAUCGAUCGGUGAUAAUAUCGUUGCAAAGUUAUUCGAUAAUUAGGUAUCGAAGACACACCGUGGGAUGAAACUUGGCGUGCAUCGUGUGCAAAGGCAGCUUAAUAUCGACGCGGUCGGAUCUAAGAGCGAAGUUUCCUCUCUUCUCCGAGGGAUUUUCUCAGCUUUGGAAUAUAUAGUGGAGAGCUGUGUGUAAACGAUCGCCGUGCCUCCGCGCGCCAUAUUAAUAGGGCCAUCUUCGUGGCCAGCUUAAUAUUGGAUAGCGAAGCGCUUGGACGGUCCUUAGAAGCGGAAAACGAUUUAUGGCCUCCACCGUUGGAGGAUUUGUAAAUAGAAUCCUGUGUGGAAGGGGAGCGGCCCGAGGACAGGCACGUGCUCGGCAUAAGUCCGCCAAGAAUAUGAGAAGGAUUUCUACCAAUUGAAUUUGUUGUUACAGCUUCUACCGAUGCGAAUUAAAUUGAAAACGAACCGUUAUCUACCAUAUAAUAAGAGACUGAUGAGCAGAAGAGAGAGGCGAAAGCCGCAACUUUACAAAAGGGAGAUUCAUAUUCCGGUCGGAGAAGCAGCGACAUUCGGAGCAGAAAAUAAAAUCUACGGGGGUCGGUCCCCUCCACGGAAACGGACGUUGCAUUCACGGGAACGUUUCUCGUUUUCGUCUCAUAACUUCCUCCUUCCUGGACUCCUAACCGACUCUUUCCCCGACCGUGUCACAUCGCUGACCCUUCCUGCACUUAGCCGGCCUCUAAACCAACCGGCAAACUUCGUGAUAUGCAUUUGAAAUGCCGACUCGGAACCUCAGAAAUUUUCUUUCGGCCACGCGCAAUCGGAUUUUCCCGUUAGAAAUUCCUCGUUAAAUUCUCUUUCGUUUUAAAGGACGCGCAGAUUUUAUAUAUAUAUAUAUAUCUUGGAUACUUCCUUGAGGAUCAAAGGAAACACACCGCAAAUUUACAAAUAUCCGUGAGCAAUUCUCUCUAUUUUUUUCUUUCUUCGCUUUCAAGUACAAAUGAAAUUAGAUACGAAUAAAUUAUAGGAGGAUCUCGUUUGUCCAGUUUCACUUGUACUUUUGAAAAAUUUCAAAAUUCGAUUUCGAUUACUUUUUACAGGUAAAGUAUCAGUCGCUUGUGUCGCGAUUUCGGAGACACUCUGUACAUAUAUAUAUAUGUACACUGAAAAGCUGAUUUGCAAAGCGACUAUCAGGGAAACACAGCGUCUAACUAUCGGCUAAUCAGCCACCAAGUUGCUCGAUGUAAGACGGAACGCCUCUUAUCCGAUGAUCCGUCUUUCCUCGAGACAUAACAGGGGCUAACUAUGCUCGACUAAGCUUCCGUCACGUCGGAUAGUGUGGUAAAUCUUGCGGAUUUAUGUGCGCCAUUGUCCACGGCGUUCGCUUUUUGUCGCGAUAUAAACCUGUCAAGUGUCGUCUUGAGAAGCGAUAAAUGAAGAUUUCGAAUUUGAAAAGAAAGGAGAAGUGGCUAAAGUUGUCGAGAUCGGAAGAGAAAAAUAAACGACGUUGUUAAAUAAAGCGAUGAUUAUCUUCGCUCGUGACAAAUAUGGGACAAUGGGAAAUAUGACAAAUUCUAUUUUAUAUCUCAAUAUGGGUAUUGUUGUGAAAACAAUUAAUCCUAUUAUCUCCUGAUGAAUUUAUCAAUAUACACUCGAUAAUUGCAAAUACGAUAUUCGCAUUCAAGUGACAUUUGAUACUUUGCGACAAAGGCAAUUUAAUAAUAAUUUAUAUUCGUCUCUCACCAGCGAAAUAUAUUUCUAUUCGUGUGUCGAUAAUAAAUCGUGCGAUAAAUCGCGACGAAGUAUCGAUUAUUACGAGAUAUGAAUUAAUAAAUUCUUUUUUUUAAUUUAUAUUUUCGAUCUUAAUAACACGAUUCGUUUCACUUAACGAUGUAGCAUAUCUAAAUAUUUGCGUGCGGAUCAUCGACGAACCACAAGAUCGCGAAUUCCAUCGGAUUUCGAGCAGCAUCUCCAUACGUCGGUCCAUAAUCGUAAGAGUUGCAGGCGAAAAAUUGCGAAAUUUUAAAAGACAACGAUUCGUAAGAAAAUAAACAUCGUUAAUACGUAGCAGAGACUAAGCCAGGUCGAAACCACAAUCUCGUUAUAUACCGAGAGAGAGCUACUGUGGCCCCGCAGUAACCACCCUGUUCCCAAGUUUAUAUACGUAAGAAUCCGUUUAGAACAGGUUACAAGCAAACAAUUGGUGCCAUUCGUUUAAAAGAUAACUGUGUAAAAUUUCGUAUUUAUUAGGAUGAAAGUGGAUAAAUAAAUUGUUCGUCUUCCUUGGCGCAUAAUCGCAGCAACGAUCAUCGAAGAAAAGUUUGGAGGUAAUCUUGUAAAUAGCUCGAACUGCUUCUUGCCUGCAUUUUGUUUCUCCCUCCAUCGUACUUCAACCUCGUAUUAUCUAAAGUGUUGCUCUUGGCUGCUCGCUUAGAAAUAAAGCUGUGAAGUUUAUCAAGAGGGGAGGGGCCUCCUCGGUAUCCUUUGUAUCGAGGCGAGGAAAAAUUGUGGCGAUGCCGCGCGAACAAGUUUGAAACUCGACUCCUAAGAUACUUACUCUGAUCGAGCGCGACGGAUAUUGAAGUGGUGAAACGUCAGCUUGACGAUUUCGUCGGGUUGACCGAUGAACGUGUAAAGGAGGCAAUCGAUAUUCGACGGAUAUGGCUUUGGAUAAUAAGGCGAUGUGAACGUGCCACCUUGGGGUCUGUCCGAGCUGCUGUAGACGACGCAAGAGCAACCUGUAACAAAUCGCAAUAUUAAUGUAAUAACAUUAAAGCGAGUGAUUAUAUUUUGGACUUUGGACUUUGAACUUGGAUUUUAUAUUUUUUGGAUUUUCAACUUAUUGGAUUUUAAAUCUUGGA